AACCAGCCGAUAUUCGGAUGGACCUGCCGGCUACCAGACAUACUGUGCACCUGGUGGAUCUAAUCCAUGUGUAGGUUGUGUCUGCAGCUUUUAUUGUAUAGUUCUAUCUAGACAAAGAUAAGAAUUAGUCAUUAUUUUUGAGCUAUUGUGUUUUCACCUGCUGAUCACUUGUCUUGAUGUAGCCUUUAUUAAAGGCAGACAGGGUGCCGAUCGUGGAGGAGAAUCCGCGUCUUGCAUACUGCAACGCCGUGACGCAACUCUCACUUUCCUGCUGCAACACAAUAAAAUAUGAAUCGCCGAAGCGGCGACGAUGGGACGCUUCUUCUUUGUGAGUAAAUAUCGUUUAAAUGGUGAGAGGUGGGGGUGUGGCGCUGACCAUCUCCCAUUCACCAAAACAAUACACGCCCAGAGAGCUCGCACAUUUGUGGCGUAAAAAAGGAAAGAAGCCGCGCCGGGUUCCAGGUUUGAUCACUGUGGAGCUAUCUGCUGUGAACUGCCUGGGUGCACAGGCCAGCCAGCAAGCCCCUCGCCUGCUCCGUCCCUCCGCAGGCUCCAAAUAAAAAGCGAUCCACGCAGGGAUCCUCAUCGCAUUACACAGAUUCAAAGCGCUGGAUGCAGAGCGAGACCAAGUGGCCUGCACAUUAAGAUGCGAUAACUACGGCAUGUUAGCAUUAUGAUCCAUGGCUGUCAGUGUGUCAGUGCAAGAUGUGUUCCAAGAGGAGAUUGAAUGCCUCUAAAAUUUCAAGGCUGUGAGCCCUGUGCAGGGUGGUGAUGAGCACUCAGGGCAGCAGCAGCAGGGGAAGUGGCCAGCAUGCUGACACUCCUCCCCCUCGUCACGCCCCUGGACCUAAGCUGCAGGUGCAGCGCUCCCUCUCUCGUGACACUAUCACCAUCCACUUCUCUGCUCUGGGGAAGGAGGAAGAUGAUGAGGACGAGG